UACAGGGGGGGCAAGCGUUGUUCGGAAUUACUGGGCGUAAAGCGUGCGCAGGCGGUUCGUUAAGUUCGUUGUGAAAGCCCCGGGCUCAACCUGGGAACUGCAAUGGAAACUGGCGGGCUUGAGUGUGGCAGAGGGGGGUGGAAUUCCGCGUGUAGCAGUGAAAUGCGUAGAGAUGCGGAGGAACACCGAUGGCGAAGGCAGCCCCCUGGGCCAACACUGACGCUCAGGCACGAAAGCGUGGGGAGCAAACAGG
rnacentral:rRNA from 1 species